AUGCUCAUUUUGGCAGCACCUAUGCUAAAAUUGGCAUGAUACAGAGAUUAGCAUGGCCCCUGUGCAAGGAUGACAUGCAAAUUCAUGAAACGUUCCAUAUUAAG